UUGAUGGAAAGGAGCAACACAACUUCAGG
rnacentral:piRNA from 1 species